rnacentral:tRNA from 1 species
AAGGAAUUAGCUCAAUGGUAGAGCAACCGUUUUACACACGGCAGGUUAGGUGUUC